CCUCGGGUGGCUGCAGUAAGGAAUAUUGGACAAUGGGCGCAAGCCUGAUCCAGCCAUGCCGCGUGCAGGAUGACGGCCCUAUGGGUUGUAAACUGCUUUUAUACGGGAAAAAACCCCUCUACGUGUAGAGGGCUGAUGGUACCGUAAGAAUAAGGAUCGGCUAACUCCGUGCCAGCAGCCGCGGUAAUACGGAGGAUCCGAGCGUUAUCCGGGUUUAAAGGGUUUGAAGGGUGCGUUGUAAGUCAGGUGUGAAAUCCUGCAGCUUAACUGUAGAACUGCCAUUGAUACUGCAAGUCUUGAGUACAUAUGAUGUGGGCGGAAUGUGUAGUGUAGCGGUGAAAUGCUUAGAUAUUACACAGAACACCAAUUGCGAAGGCAGCUCACAAAACUGUAACUGACGCUGAGGCACGAAAGCGUGGGGAGUGAACAGGAUUAGAUACCCCUGUAGUC
rnacentral:rRNA from 1 species